rnacentral:rRNA from 1 species
AUUGAACGCUGGCGGCAGGCUUAACACAUGCAAGUCGAGCGGAGCGAGGGUGCUUGCACCUUAGCUUAGCGGCGGACGGGUGAGUAAUGCUUAGGAAUCUGCCUAUUAGUGGGGGACAACAUUCCGAAAGGGAUGCUAAUACCGCAUACGCCCUACGGGGGAAAGCAGGGGAUCUUCGGACCUUGCGCUAAUAGAUGAGCCUAAGUCGGAUUAGCUAGUUGGUGGGGUAAAGGCCUACCAAGGCGACGAUCUGUAGCGGGUCUGAGAGGAUGAUCCGCCACACUGGGACUGAGACACGGCCCAGACUCCUACGGGAGGCAGCAGUGGGGAAUAUUGGACAAUGGGGGGAACCCUGAUCCAGCCAUGCCGCGUGUGUGAAGAAGGCCUUUUGGUUGUAAAGCACUUUAAGCGAGGAGGAGGCGCUCUAGGAUAAUACCCUAGAUGCGUGGACGUACUCGCAGAA